rnacentral:rRNA from 1 species
AUUGAACGCUGGCGGCAUGCUUUACACAUGCAAGUCGAACGGUAACAGGCCGCAAGGUGCUGACGAGUGGCGAACGGGUGAGUAAUGCAUCGGAACGUGCCCAGUCGUGGGGGAUAACGCAGCGAAAGCUGUGCUAAUACCGCAUACGAUCUAUGGAUGAAAGCGGGGGACCGUAAGGCCUCGCGCGAUUGGAGCGGCCGAUGUCAGAUUAGGUAGUUGGUGGGGUAAAGGCCUACCAAGCCAACGAGCUGUAGCUGGUCUGAGAGGACGACCAGCCACACGGGGACUGAGAAACGGCCCAGACUCCUACGGGAGGCAGCAGUGGGGGAGUUUGGACAAGGGGCGCAAGCCUGAUCCAGCAAUGCCGCGUGCAGGAAGAAGUCCUUCGGGUUGUAAACUGCUUUUGUACGGAACGAAACGGUCUGGGUUAAUACCCUGGACUAAUGACGGUACCGUAAGAAUAAGCACCGGCUAACUACGUGCCAGCAGCCGCAGUAACAC